rnacentral:rRNA from 1 species
UACGAAGGGGGCUAGCGUUGCUCGGAAUCACUGGGCGUAAAGCGCACGUAGGCGGGUUGUUAAGUCGGGGGUGAAAUCCUGGAGCUCAACUCCAGAACUGCCUUCGAUACUGGCGACCUUGAGUACGGGAGAGGUGAGUGGAACUCCGAGUGUAGAGGUGAAAUUCGUAGAUAUCGGGAGGAACACCGGUGGCGAAGGCGGCGACCUGGGUUGACAUUGACGCUGAGGCGCGAAAGCGUGGGGAGCAAACAGG